rnacentral:misc_RNA from 1 species
AACUUUCGACAACGGAUCACUUGGUUCUCGCAUCGAUGAAGAACGCAGCGAAUCGCGAUAAGUAAUGUGAAUUGCAGAUUUUCAGUGAAUCAUCGAAUCUUUGAACGCACAUUGCGCCCGCUGGUAUUCCGGCGGGCAUGCCUGUUCGAGCGUCAUUAUGACCAAUCAAGCUCUGCUUGGCCUUGGGGCCCGCUGUACCGGCGGCCCUUAAAACUAGUGGCGGUGCCGUCUGGCUCUAAGCGUAGUAAUACUUCUCGCUAUAGUGUCUAGGCGUCCACCCGCCGGAACCUCCAACUUUCUUAGGUUGACCUCAAAUCAGGCAGGACUACCCGCUGAACUUAAGCAUAUCAAUAAGCGGAGGCU